rnacentral:rRNA from 1 species
GAUGAACGCUGGCGGCGUGCUUAACACAUGCAAGUCGAACGGAAAGGCCCAAGCUUGCUUGGGUACUCGAUUGGCGAACGGGUGAGUAACACGUGGGUGAUCUGCCCUGCACUUCGGGAUAAGCCUUGGAAACUGGGUCUAAUACCGGAUAGGACCACAUUUUGGAUGGUGUGGUGGAAAGUUUUUCGGUGUGGGAUGGGCUCGCGGCCUAUCAGCUUGUUGGUGGGGUAAUGGCCUACCAAGGCGUUGACGGGUAGCCGGCCUGAGAGGGUGUACGGCCACAUUGGGACUGAGAUACGGCCCAGACUCCUACGGGAGGCAGCAGUGGGGAAUAUUGCACAAUGGGCGCACGCCUGAUGCAGCGACGCCGCGUGGGGGAUGACGGCCUUCGGGUUGUAAACUCCUUUCGCUAGGGACGAAGCGCAAGUGACGGUACCUGGAGAAGAAGCACCGGCUAACUACGUG